AGGACGAACGCUUGCGACGUGCCUAAGAAAUGCAAGUCGAGCGAGGCAGCAAUGCCUAGCGGCGAACGGUCGCGUAACACGUAAGCAACCUGCCCCAAAGACCGGGACAACGUUCCGAAAGGAGCGCUAAUACCGGAUGUGGCCUACGGGUGACAUCGCCUGUAGAUUAAACCGAGCAAUCGGCUUUGGGAGGGCUUGCGGCCUAUCAGCUAGAUGGUGGGGUAACGGCCUACCAUGGCGACGACGGGUAGCUGGU
rnacentral:rRNA from 1 species